AUGACAAGCACUGAUCAAGGAGGACUGUCUCGUCUGUUUGUGAUCUGCUCUGCUCUGUGAGCCUCGGGAUGGAUGUUCGCCAGCUGAUCCCAUGGUUACAAGCUCUGUGGCUGCAUCUAUGCGUUCGGAGCGUGCAGACCAAUAAUGGAUGCACUGAGCUGAUUUUGAAUUUAGCCCUGAUCAAGAUCCGUGUUGUCCUUACAUGAAAGAUUUCAAUUAAUCCUCAGAAUGAACGCACUCGAGUUGAUUCAAGCACUCUGCCAUGGUCAUGAGCUCUGUGGUCGCAUCUGUGUGUCAGGAGCGUGCAGACCAAUAAUUCUCCCCAUGGUUCUGACUGUACGGUUGAAUCUCCAUUAAGAGCCUGGAGACCAAUAGUGAUAAUCUCAAGGUGAUUUACGCCUUCUUCCAUGGCCACCAGCCCUGUGGUUGCACCUCUGUGUCAGAGCUUAGAGAUCAAUGAUAGCUGCUUUUCAGGGGAUGCGAUCUCAUCCCUGCCCACCAGCGUGUUGGCUGCAUGUCUGUGUUAGAGUAUGAAGACCAAUAAUUGAUACAGCAAGGUGUUUCAAGCAUUUUGUUGGGAUCAAAAUUUUUGUGUUGGCUCAGUGUUUGGAAAGAGACCAAGAAUGGAUGCUGUCAUGGCCACAAGUUCUGUAGUUGCCUCUCUAUAUUAAGAGCACAGAGACUUAAAAUGGACUCACUCAAGCUGACUUAAGAAUUUCUCCUUGGUCACAAGAUUUUUAGUUGCAUGUCUGCAUUAGGAACCUAGAGAACAAUAGUUUUAAAAUUAUAAUUACUAAACUGAUGAAUGAAUAACUUGGAAACGAAUUGAGGAAAAGUGGGCCCUUCCUGGAUCAAUGAUGAAAAUUGCCAGCGUGUGCGUGUUGGAUAAUGAAUUAUAUGUGUGUGGAAUUCUGACGUCCAACACAAAAGGAAAGUGAUGUUUCUUUUCAUGCAUGUUCAUUCUGCUAUUGUAAUCGGGUUGAUAAAAAGAAUCAAUGAGCAAAUAUAAAAGUAAAUUGAGAUAAAAUAGAUGAAGCAUUGUCCAAAUAUAGAAAUAUGUGACAAGGCAAGAAAUACUAAUACUGUAUGUUGAAAACAUGAAAUUCAAUGAGAAAUUAAUGAUAUGUGACUUUUACCUCUUUGGCUAAUGAUGACACGAGCAGUUUAAAUUAUAGACAGUGUUCAUGCCCUGAGUCUGUGGCAAAUUUGAAGUUGUUCAUUUGUAGAGAAAAUGUAAUAUCCUCCCAAUUAAUGAUUGCCCUAAUUACUGGUUAACUGUUAGACACGAAGCAGGGAACAAUGGCUAUAAGGUCUCAAAUUUUUUUUUUUUUUUUUUUUG